GACGAACGCUGGCGGCGUGCUUAACACAUGCAAGUCGAGCGGUAAGGCCCUUUCGGGGGUACACGAGCGGCGAACGGGUGAGUAACACGUGGGUGACCUGCCCUCAGCUCUGGGAUAAGCCCGGGAAACUGGGUCUAAUACCGGAUAUGACUUCAUGACGCAUGUUGUGGAGUGGAAAGCCUUGUGCGGCUGAGGAUGGGCCCGCGGCCUAUCAGCUUGUUGGGGGGUGAUGGCCUACCAAGGCGACGACGGGUAGCCGGCCUGAGAGGGCGACCGGCCACACUGGGACUGAGAUACGGCCCAGACUCCUACGGGAGGCAGCAGUGGGGAAUCUUGCGCAAUGGGCGAAAGCCUGACGCAGCGGCGCCGCGUGAGGA
rnacentral:rRNA from 1 species